UACGUAGGUGACAAGCGUUGUCCGGAUUUACUGGGCGUAAAGGGCUCGUAGGCGGCCAACUAAGUCAUACGUGAAAUCCCUCAGCUUAACUGGGGAACUGCGUGUGAUACUGGAUGGCUUGGAUUUGGGAGAGGGAUGCGGAAUUCCAGGUGUAGCGGUGAAAUGCGUAGAUAUCUGGAGGAACACCGGUGGCGAAGGCGGCAUCCUGGACCAAUAUUGACGCUAAGGAGCGAAAGCUAGGGGAGCAAACGGG
rnacentral:rRNA from 1 species